GCUCCGGCCAGGGCGGGACUCUCUCCGGCUCGACUUCAGCCGCAGAAAAAGCUGCAGAUUUUCUCCACCUAAGGAAAGACUCAGGCGGCUGUGCGGAAUCGCUUGGCUUGAAGAAGCAGAACCGGCGAGGGAAGCCCUAAGGUCGGAGUCUGGGCUUCCCAGACCCUGUGCGCGCCCCGUCUUCGCUGAGCCCUCCCCAUUCCCCGUGGCUCCCCUUCUUAGCGCCCUGCGCCCCCCUCCCUCCCAGCCCGAGCUGCAGCCCGGCGCAUCCCCGCCCCCUCCCUUGGCCCUUCCCGGUGCUGACUGACCGCAGCCCAGCCCCGGUACCCUCCCAGUUUACCAGGAGCUGGACCCCCGGCAGGGCCGCGUGCCCUGGGGCAGGAAAGUGCAGAGGAGGAGCUACGGGCCGGGAUGCGGCCCUGCUGGAGAGCCGCUCGGAUGGAUCCAUGGGAAUCAGCCGGACUGAACCCGAGCCUCCCCAAGCCACGGCCCGGUUGGGAGUUGCUAUUCUGGGAGGCAGCCCUGGGGUCAGGAGACCUGGGAGCUCUGGAAGUGGAGAUGGAUGGCACCCACAGAAGUCCCCAUGCUCCCCUCCGCAGGCCCAAGGGUGCUUGGCCCCAGGACAUGUAGGUCAAAGGCUCAGGCCCCUUCUCAGCUAGCAAAGAGAUGGAUGUGUGUGAUAGCUAACCUGGUUACCUUCCCACAGGCCAGGGGAAAGCGUCUGUGAUCUUGUGCUUUCCAAGAACUCAGAGACCCUGAGUUGGAUGGAGGUCCAAAGAGAGGAGUGACUGGGGAGAGGUCCAAGCUGCAGUCCCUCUGACUCAGGGCUGGGAGCAGGUUCUCCUCCUUCUGGGGUUUUCUAGGCAGACAGGAGAGGUGGCAGGGGAUGGGAUUUCAGGCAGAGUUUGCUGGUGAGGCACAGUGUGUGCCACUCGGACUGAGGCUGUAUGCUCGGGUGUGCCUCUGUGCAGUGUGGGGGACUGCCCAGGCCAGCAAAGGUCCUCUGUUCCCCGCAGCUCGGUCCCACCCUCAACCAGCUGGUGGGAUCUCUGGCUACAGACCUAUGAACUUUCAGCACAAGGUCUGGGUCAUUAGUUAUGAGAUUCCUCCCUGGUGGGUCAGGAGAGCAUGCUCCCUUAGAUCCAAAGGGUGCUGUCAGCCCAGGGCUGGUGCUCAGGGAGGGACAGUGCCCUGGCCAGGUGGCCCUGGUCUAAGGUCUUCCAUUGGCCAGGCAGGGGCUAGGAGUGGUCCAGAGCAGAUCUGUGGGAGUCACCCAGCCCUGGUUCAGGAUCUAGGUGUGGGACCUCAAGAAAGUCCUGCUCUCUCUCUUUGCACCUCAGCUUCCACAUCUGUAAAGUGGGCAUAAGGACAGCAUGUUCCCUCCACAGCUGUGGAGAAGACAACAUGUCGUGUAAGUGCUCACCAAAGUGCGUGGCACAUAGUGGGCUCUAGAAAUAUUUGGUAAAUGAUUGGAUGGAAGGGAGUCCUCAGGACUUGGGAAAAUCACAGCUCCUCCUCCCACCAGAGCCCAAGAAGAAACCACACUGAGCUUGGCCAUCUCCCUUCCUUUGGGGCAGGUGAGACUCAGAUCCCCACAGCUGUGGACUGGACACAGGAGACCUCCCACCCCCAGGCAGUGCCCAGACUUCCAGCAGAGGCAGCCUGUGGAACCCAGUGCCAGGGCUCUUGGUGGAGAACAGAAUUAGGGGUCCAGCCCAUUGCAUUAGAAAAAACUGCACGGGACUCUCAAGGCACCGGUGAUAUUUACUUUUUAAACGGCACUUUCCUCAAGAAUCUUUGCAUUUCUUACCAAAUGGAUGGGCUGGGUUUUUUCAGCAGCCCAUCCAAAACCAGGGGUUUCACUGGCAAAGUGCUCGAGCCAGAACAAAGAGACGACCAAGGACCAUAUUUGGAACCAAAAAAGCCCCAUUAGGACACUAAGAAUAACUCACAGAAAGACGUUUUAUAUGAAUUGGACACAUUCACAAAAGCAAGAAAGUUCAUUGGUUUCCCUCGGGAGGGUCUGGGCUGGGAAAGGGGGUGGCUGAGUGUGAUGCGGGCCCAGCGCCCGUCCUAUUUGAUCUUUAUGUUCAAUCCACUUCAAAAUGCUGGGGAUCAGUGGAGUUGGAGGUUCGCCCCUUCCUGUAAUUAUUUGGUGUCUAGUAAAGUUUUUAUGAGUGUCUGUGCAAAUAAAUGCAUUUGAUGUGCAUUUGUUUUGGCCAGUGCCGCUUUCUACAGGAGGCGUGUGCGCCUUCUGUUGGCCCUCGGAAAGAAAAGAAUGAGAGUGAAAAUGAGAAUAAAAGCAAGAUAUCGGGCAGGCAGAGGGGCGGGGCCAGGGCCGGCCCACUGAGGACCGCCACCCCUCUGACGGGGCUGCCUGCUGGGGGGCAGCCGUGGGGUCUGCUGUGGGAGCUGUGGGCUGGGAGGCGGGCUUGGUGAGCUCCAGAUCCUAGGAAGGCGUUUUGGAACAGAACUCUGCUGCCUUCGAUUGCUGUCCUCUGGGAUGCUUGGUGGAGUGAAAUGAAUGAGAGGUAAGGGUGGGGUUUGGGGCAUCACUUCAUCAUUUAAAUGGCAGGGUCUGCCUGUUUCUCUAGAAUUGGAGCUCAGACGUAUCUGGCUGGGAGACGGGCUGGCAGAGGUGUGGCUCCCAGCCCUCUCCGGACAGGGCAGCAGGGUGGGCAGGAUGGGGGUGCCUCCCUUGUGGUUCGGGAAGCAGGGGUGCUCCCUCAGGGUGAAGAGCCAGGCCAGGGUGUCAGAGGCCGGGAGCACCCAAGCCCCUGUCUCAGGUAUCUGACGGGUGCCUGGGAUGCCACCUGCGGGUACCCAUCGGAUGCCUGUUUGGUUUGGGCCAUGCUGUCUGUCUCUCCUCCCAGCACUGCAGUCUCGAUUUAUUCUAAAAUUAUUUCAGCAUUUUUAUUGAAGUAUAAUAUACACAUAGAGAAGAGCACAAAGCAGAAAGUGGCACACAUGCCCCCAACACCCAGAUCAGGAGAGAACAGGUUUCUGGCUCCCCAGAUCUCUGCUUCUGCCCUCCCAGCACUAACUCCCCAGCCUUUCUCCCACAAAACCAGACCUGGUUUCUGUCACCGUCCAGGAGUUUUGCCUGGUUUGGAAUUUUACUUUAUUCAUGAGAUUUUACAUGAAAAUAUGGAUUUUUCUCCUGAGAAAUCAUAGGCCUGAUAUUCUUAGACCCUCACCCAGCAGGGUGUUGGUAAUCUGGGGCUGAAUUGUGCCAUCUCCAACACCCCACCCCAGGUCAGACAUCUGCCCUCUUUAGUUUGCCAGGGGGCAUUUGUGUUGGUGACUCCUGUUGUAACCCUUCGCCUCUCCCCCAUCUUUGGUCCCUCCCCAAGAGGCCUCACUGUAUGUGCACUGGGAAGCACACACAGAAUCUUCUCUCACCUCAGUCCCUCCAUCGGCCUCCAGUAUCCUCUGAGGUUGAAAUCAUGAGACUUUUUUAACAAGUGAAGAAGUCAGAGCCUCAGAGAGGUGAAGUCACUUACCCAGGGUCACACAGCAUCUUAAGUGUCAGAUCCUGGAUUCAAACCUAGACCAGCUGACUUCAAGCCCCAGGCUCCUCCCCACAUGGCUCCUCUGGGCAUCCAGGCAAAGGCAUGAACAAUUCCCCUCCUGCCUUCUUCCAGCAGAGAGGAAGCUGGACUUUUCCAAAGGAAAGGCUGGGAAACAAAACAGAAAACAGGGCCAGGAUGGUUCCUAGGCCCCGACAGCCUAACCUAGGGUGAUGCAAGCCUAGUCUGGGAUGAGCUGCUCUGAACUGGUGCAGCCUCCCAGAUGCAUCCAGGGAGGGUGACACGUGCCAUUCACUGUGUCUCCACCACAUACAGGCAGAUGCUAUGUGUUAUUCCCGAAUAUGCCCAAUGCGCCUUAGAGGGAGGCAUUAUUAUUUAGCCCCACUUUACAGAUGAGAACACUGAGGCUCAGAUAGGUCAAAUGCAAUGCGUAUGAGUGGCCAUGAUGGAUUUUGAAUGCAUUCAGUGCCUUUGCUCUGUGCUACAUGGGCCCCUUUCUUUUUGGCUUACUCUCUUAUCUGAGCCACCUGCACCCUCCUGUUAUGAGGUGCAGCCAAGUGCUUCCUCUUGGAUACUGAAAGAUCUAGAGUCUGGCCUGGGGCUUAGUUUCAGGAGCCACAUGGUGGUUCACAGGGCCUCAGUUUCUUCAUCUGGAAAAUGGGGAUGAUAUUACUACUUUCCAUUACUAUGUGGGGGUUCAACUAGGUCUGUGGGCUUUUGAAUCUAGAAUUGGUAGUGACCUGUUAGAGGGGGCACAAGGGUCAUUGGAUAUGCAAAGGUCCUGGGGCAAGAAAGAACUUGGUCCAUUGGAAGCAUGUAUGGCUGGGUCAGAGCAAGGGCAUGGCCACAGGUGUGGGCAGGAGCCUGACCACAGGGCAUUGCGGGACUAGAUAAGGAACAUGGACUUGAACCUGAGGGCAGCAGGGAGCCUUGGGAGCGUUUAAACAGUGUAGUGCCACAGUCAAGUUUGUUUUUUAGGAAGAUCUCUGACUGUGGGGAGGGGUGAGACCAGAGGCAGGAGGCCAAGUGACGAGGCCUUUGGGUUUCAAUAUCCCUUUUGUAUGGAAUGAGGUUGGGCGGUCCUCAGAGCAGACCUUAUCCUCUGAUUUCCCAUAGAGGUUGCGUUUCCAGAUUCAGGGUUUCAUGUUACACAGAGUUAUUCUUUCUGGAAUGUGUCCCCCGAGCAACCCCGCCGGACCCUCCUUGGAAGGAGGGGCUCUUCUGAAUGCAAGAUGCACAUUUAUGCAAAAAAGUAGAGCCAUCGGGGUCCUGGGGUUUGGCAGUGUCUGUCCCCGAAACAGCCCAGCAACCAGCAGACGGAGCAGCACUCAAGAGGUGGGACAGUCUGCAAACAUCAAUAACAACAAUAACAGUAAUGAUGGCUCCGAACAGGCUGCUCCCUUUGCCUGGAAGGUUCUCUCCACUCCCUUUCUCUGGCUUACUCCUGUUCAUCCUUCUGUCUCGGUGGACCAGCCGAGGGCUCAGGCAAGAAGUGGCUUCUCACAGCACCAGAGGAAUCUGAUGGCUGAUCCGAGGGAUCGCCCCCUCCCUUCAUUCUCCCAGGAGCCCUAAGGGUGGGGGAGGGGCAUGCUCCGACUCAGCCCACGCUGGAGAAGAUGCAGGUGCAGGUCUGAAAAAUCUCCUUGGGCAAGGGAAACAAAAGAAAAACAAACAAACAAAUGGGACUAAGUCAAACAGAGAAGUUUUUGCACAGCGAAGGGAGCCAUCAACAAAAUGAAAAGAGCCCACUGGAUGGGAGGACAUAUUCGCCAAUGAUACAUCUGAUAAGGGGUUAAUA